rnacentral:rRNA from 1 species
CACGUAGGGUGCGAGCGUUGUCCGGAAUUAUUGGGCGUAAAGAGCUCGUAGGCGGUGUGUCGCGUCGGCCGUGAAAACUUGGGGCUUAACUCUGAGCGUGCGGUCGAUACGGGCAUCACUCGAGUUCGGCAGGGGAGACUGGAAUUCCUGGUGUAGCGGUGAAAUGCGCAGAUAUCAGGAGGAACACCGGUGGCGAAGGCGGGUCUCUGGGCCGAUACUGACGCUGAGGAGCGAAAGCAUGGGGAGCGAACAGG